AAGGAGUCUAACAUAUAUGCGAGUAAAAAAGUGGUUAAAACUUAUCAUGCGUAACGAAAGUAACUUUAAAAAAUGGCUUAUUCUUAAAUUUAAUGAGCUGCACCAUUGACCAAUCUAGAGAUUUUUCGAAAGAUUUGAGUGAGAGCAUAUCUGUUGGGACCCGAAAGACAGUGAACUAUGCCUGAAUAGGGUGAGGCCAGAGGAAACUCUGGUGGAGGCUCGUAGCGAUUCUGACGUGCAAAUCGUUCGUCAAACUUGGGUAUAGGGGCGAAAGACUAAUCGAACCGUCUAGUAGCUGGUUCCCUC
rnacentral:sRNA from 1 species